GUUGUUUUGUUUUCCAAAUAAAAACAAUGUUGUUUGGAAGAAGCUUCUCUCUAAGUUUUAACAGCUUUUUCACUAUGAAGUUUACAAAAAUGUCUAAAUGUUGCAAGUGGAGUCUUUCUUGUAAUCUUUACGUUGAAAAUUAUCUACCAAUAAACAAAAAAUCGGAAAUUUAUUGCAAAUCGAUGUUCCAAAGGUGAUAUGGAAAAUCAUAAUGGUGCCAUGGUAUGGAUAAAGGAAGAAUUUGUAAAGGUGGAAUUGUAUUGUGGAUAGACAUUAGAGAUUGGUGUGAUUUGGUUAAUGAGGGACUGACACCCUCAAGGAAUUAAUUCUUUAUUGAAAAUUAAAGAUAAAUUAUGGUGACACUGCUGCAAUUUUUUAAUACAAUGUUUACCAGAAAAUGUAGAACAGAAAUUAUAUUAUGCAUAAUAUAUCAAUAGCGUUUGUACCUAAUAAUAACUUUAUUAAUUAGUAAUAACUUAAUGAGCAACUGAUGUUAUUUUUUAGGGGAACAUAUAAUCUGAUUAAAGUUGCAGCCAACCCAGCCCUUACAUACCAAUGUCACUAUAUUUAUAUAAUAUAACUAAAACUAAAAGUGUAAAACCUAAUCACCUAACUGUUUAGGCACUUUAAGUCAUUGUUUGGAUCUUAAACUAGAAGGCUCUACAGUUUCAAUAUCUUUGGUAUUUUGAAUAUUUCAAAAAAACUUCUUACUUGCUUUAAAAUAAUAUAUUUAUUUGGAACUGGUUU
rnacentral:lncRNA from 1 species